AGUUGGGCACUCUAAUGAGACUGCCGGUGACAAACCGGAGGAAGGUGGGGAUGACGUCAAGUCCUCAUGGCCCUUAUGAGCAGGGCUUCACACGUCAUACAAUGGUCGGUACAGAGGGUUGCCAAGCCGCGAGGUGGAGCUAAUCUCAGAAAACCGAUCGUAGUCCGGAUCGCACUCUGCAACUCGAGUGCGUGAAGUCGGAAUCGCUAGUAAUCGCAGAUCAGCAUGCUGCGGUGAAUACGUUCCCGGGUCUUGUACACACCGCCCGUCACACCAUGGGAGUGAGUUUCACCAGAAGUGGGUAGGCUAACCGCAAGGAGGCCGCUUACCACGGUGGGAUUCAUGACUGGGGUGAAGUCGUAACAAGGUAGCCGUAGGGGAACCUGCGGCUGGAUCACCUCCUUU
rnacentral:rRNA from 1 species